rnacentral:rRNA from 1 species
CACGCUGUAAACGAUGAGUACUAGGUGUCGGAGUUUAAAGAUUUCGGUGCCGUAGCUAACGCAUUAAGUACUCCACCUGGGAAGUACGAUCGCAAGAUUGAAACUCAAAGGAAUUGACGGGGGCCCGCACAAGCGGUGGAGCAUGUGGUUUAAUUCGAAGCAACGCGAAGAACCUUACCAGGUCUUGACAUCCCACUGACCGGUCCGUAACGGGACCUUCUCUUCGGAGCAGUGGAGACAGGUGG